rnacentral:rRNA from 1 species
UACGAAGGGGGCUAGCGUUGUUCGGAAUUACUGGGCGUAAAGGGCUCGUAGGCGGCCAACUAAGUCAGACGUGAAAUCCCCAGGCUCAACUUGGGAACUGCGUCUGAUACUGGAUGGCUUGAAUCCGGGAGAGGGAUGCAGAAUUCCAGGAGUAGCGGUGAAAUGCGUAGAUAUCUGGAGGAAUACCGGUGGCGAAGGCGGCAUCCUGGACCGGGAUUGACACUGAGGAGCGAAAGCUAGGGGAGCAAACGGG